rnacentral:rRNA from 1 species
CCAAAAACUUAGCCUUAACCAAUAUUAUGACUCCUUCAUAACUUUAUCCAAUAACUAAAAUAUUUCAAAAACUUAGUAAAGAGGAUUGAAAACUAAAUUAGAGCUAUUAAAGUACCGCAAGGGAAAAAUGAAAUAUAAUGAAAAUUUAAGCACAAAAAAGUAGAGCUUUACCCUCGUACCUUUUGCAUCAUGGUUUAACUAGUCUAAUCAAGCAAAAAGACUUUAAGUUUGACAUCCCGAAACUAAGUGAGCUACUUCGAGGCAGCUUAAAGAGCUAACCCGUCUCUGUUGCAAAAGAAUGGGAAGACCUCCAAGUAGAAGUGACAGACCUACCGAACUUAGUGAUAGCUGGUUACUCAAGAAAAGAAUUUUAGUUCAACCUAAAGACACUUUAAUUAAUAAAAAAAUCGCUUUAGAGCUAUUCAAAUAAGGUACAGCUUAUUUGAAACAGGACACAACCUAUGCCAAUGGGUAAUUUCUUUCCUUUCCCCAAAAAUAAGUGGGCCUAAGAGCAGCCACCUUUCAAAAUACGUCAUAGCUUAUUUUUCCCAUCACACUACACAAAAAACCCCCCAUCCCUACUGAGUAAUUCUAUAUUUUAUAGAAAAUUUUAUGUUAAAACUAGUAACAAGAAGUCAACCUUCUCUCAUAUUCGAACAUACGCCAGCAAAGGAUAACCCACUGGCAAUUAACGGCUCUAGCCAUAAUGGCACCCCAACGAGAAAACCCCAAUUCUUCAACCGUUAACCUAACACAAGAGCAUAUCGAGAAAGAUUAAAAGAAAGAGAAGGAACUCGGCAAAUCAAAUCCCGCCUGUUUACCAAAAACAUCGCCUCUUGCACUAAAUAAGAGGUCCAGCCUGCCCAGUGACUCACGUUCAACGGCCGCGGUAUACUAACCGUGCAAAGGUAGCACAAUCACUUGUUUCUUAAAUGGAGACUAGUAUGAAAGGCCUCACGAGGAUUUAACUGUCUCCUCUCCCCAAUCAGUGAAACUAAUAUCCCUGUGAAAAAGCAAGGAUAAUUUUAUAAGACGAGAAGACCCUAUGGAGCUUUAAACACUAUAACAACUGCCUCACACUCUAAUCUUCCUGAAGAAUUACUUACAGCAUCUUGAUUAUAAGGUUUUUGGUUGGGGUGACCGCGGAGAAAAAAUAUCCUCCACAAUGAAACACCUAAAGUUUACACUAAGAAAAACAGCUCUAUGAAUCAAUAAAUUGACAUUAAUUGACCCAAAUAUUUGAUCAAUGAACCAAGUUACCCUAGGGAUAACAGCGCAAUCUACUUUGAAAGUACAUAUCGACAAGUAGGCUUACGACCUCGAUGUUGGAUCAGGGUUUCCAAGUGGUGCAGCCGCUACUAAAGGUUCGUUUGUUCAACGACUAAUACCCUACGUGAUCUGAGUUCAGACCGGAGUAAUCCAGGUCGGUUUCUAUCUAUAAAGAGCACUCCCCAGUACGAAAGGACCGGGAAAGCGCGGCCAAUAAAAUAUUUAAGCCUCCAAAAUAACUUAUGAUUAUCCUCUUAAUAACCUAUUUUUCUACCCCCAUCCUC